CCCGGUACAACGAAGUGCAGGAUAAAGCCAGAGGAAACUCUGGUGGAGGACCGCAGCGAUUCUGACGUGCAAAUCGAUCGUCAAACGUGAGUAUAGGGGCGAAAGACUAAUCGAACCAUCUAGUAGCUGG
rnacentral:ncRNA from 1 species